ensembl:lncRNA
GUUUGCUGUUACUGUGGCCAAACAACUCCAUCUUUGAUUCAUCUGUCCAGAGCACAUUAUUCCAAAAGGCCUGGUCUUUGCCUAUAUGCUCAUUGGCAAACUGUAUUCUUGCAAAGGAUUUUUCCUGGCACACCUCCCAUGCAGGUCAAAUUUGUGCAGUCUCUUUCUGAUUGUAGAAGCAUGCACUUUGACACCAACAGCUGCAAGAUGCUGUGACGAAAUUUUGGGUUUCUUUGAGACUUCUUUUUGCAUCAGCUGGUCUGCUCUUGGGCUGAAUUUGCUGGGACGGCAAGGAUGUUAGGGCAGAUUUCAACUAGGCUAUAUCAAUAUUUUAGAUCAGACUCCAACCAGGUUGAAAAAGUAUGUUGGAUCAGAUCCCAACUAGGCUAUAUGUGAAUGCUAGAUCAGAUUCCAGCCAGGUUGAAAAAGUAUGUUGGAUCAGAUCCCAACUAGGCUAUAUGUGAAUGCUAGAUCAGAUUCCAGCCAGGUUGAAAAAGGAUGUUGGAUCGGAUCCCAACUAGGCUAUAUGUGAAUGCUAGAUCAGACUCCAACCAGGUUGAAAAAGGAUGUUGGAUCAGAUCCCAACUAGGAUAUUUGUGAAUGCUAGAUCAGAUUCCAAC